rnacentral:rRNA from 1 species
GAUGAACGCUAGCUACAGGCUUAACACAUGCAAGUCGAGGGGUAACGAGAGGGAAGCUUGCUUUCCUUGUCGACGACCGGCGCACGGGUGAGUAACGCGUAUCCAACCUGCCCCCAACUAGGGAAUAACCUUGCGAAAGUAAGACUAAUACCCUAUAAUUUCCUCAGAUGUCAUCUGACGAGGAAUAAAGAUUUAUCGGUUGUGGAUGGGGAGGCGUCUGAUUAGCUUGUUGGCGGGGUAACGGCCCACCAAGGCAACGCUCAGUAGGGGUUCUGAGAGGAAGGUCCCCCACAUUGGAACUGAGACACGGUCCAAACUCCUACGGGAGGCAGCAGUGAGGAAUAUUGGUCAAUGGGCGGAAGCCUGAACCAGCCAAGUAGCGUGCAGGAUGACGGCCCUAUGGGUUGUAAACUGCUUUUAUACAGGAAUAAAGUUAGCCACGUGUGGUUAUUUGUAGGUACUGUAUGAAUAAGGACCGGCUAAUUCCGUGCCAGCCGCCGCCGUAA